CAGGUAGGUUGUCCUUCAAGUCUGCUGUGAAAUCCCCGAGCUUAACUUGGGAAGUGCGGCAGAUACUGUAGGACUAGAGUGCUGGGAGGGGUUCGUGGAAUUCCCGGUGUAGCGGCGAAAUGCGUAGAUAUCGGGAAGAACACCAGAGGCGAAGGCGGCGAACUGGACAGCAACUGACACUCAACUGCGAAAGCGUGGGGAGCAAACA
rnacentral:rRNA from 1 species